rnacentral:rRNA from 1 species
UACGUAGGGUGCGAGCGUUGUCCGGAAUUAUUGGGCGUAAAGAGCUCGUAGGCGGCUUGUCGCGUCGGAUGUGAAAGCCCGGGGCUUAACUCCGGGUCUGCAUUCGAUACGGGCAGACUGGAGUACUGCAGGGGAGACUGGAAUUCCUGGUGUAGCGGUGGAAUGCGCAGAUAUCAGGAGGAACACCGGUGGCGAAGGCGGGUCUCUGGGCAGUAACUGACGCUGAGGAGCGAAAGCGUGGGGAGCGAACAG